CAAUAGCGUAUAUUAAAGUUGUUGCGAUUAAAAAGCUCGUAGUUGGAUCUCAGGCAUGGGCGCACGGUCCGCCUCGCGGCGGUCACUGUGUGUUUUGUUUCCCAUCCUACGCUUCCCGGUUAUCAGCCCAUGGUGCUCUUCACUGAGCGUUUUGGGUGGCCGGAACGUUUACUUUGAAGAAAUUAGAGUGUUCAAAGCAGGCACGUCGCCUGAAUAAUGGUGCAUGGAAUAAUGGAAUAGGACCUCGGUUCUAUUUUGCUGGUUUUCGGAACACGAGGUAAUGAUUAAGAGGGACAGACGGGGGCAUCCGUAUUGCGGUGUUAGAGGUGAAAUUCUUGGAUCAUCGCAAGACGAACAACUGCGAAAGCAUUUGCCAAGCAUGUUUUCAUUAG
rnacentral:rRNA from 1 species